rnacentral:lncRNA from 1 species
CGCAUCAGAAACGGGCGCAGGUCUAGCGAGCCAUCGCCGGGCGGUUUAAGUGUGCCACCCGACGGUUUGCCACAAAUUGCCCUACCACCCGGCGGCAAUCGCCACCGCCGGACGGUUUCCCUCAGGUCCGCCCAACGUCAAUCGCCAUGCCUUCUCCUCGUCCUGGACCGCCCGGCGGUUUAAGUGUGCCGCCGGGCAGUGCGUUGACUCUUCAAAUCUUCAUUUUUC